rnacentral:rRNA from 1 species
GACGAACGCUGGCGGCGCGCCUAACACAUGCAAGUCGAACGAGCGAGAGAGAGCUUGCUUUCUCGAGCGAGUGGCGAACGGGUGAGUAACGCGUGAGGAACCUGCCUCAAAGAGGGGGACAACAGUUGGAAACGACUGCUAAUACCGCAUAAGCCCACGGGUCGGCAUCGACCAGAGGGAAAAGGAGCAAUCCGCUUUGAGAUGGCCUCGCGUCCGAUUAGCUAGUUGGUGAGGUAAUGGCCCACCAAGGCGACGAUCGGUAGCCGGACUGAGAGGUUGAACGGCCACAUUGGGACUGAGACACGGCCCAGACUCCUACGGGAGGCAGCAGUGGGGAAUAUUGCACAAUGGGGGAAACCCUGAUGCAGCGACGCCGCGUGGAGGAAGAAGGUCUUCGGAUUGUAAACUCCUGUUGUUGGGGAAGAUAAUGACGGUACCCAACAAGGAAGUGACGGCUAACUACGU